rnacentral:misc_RNA from 1 species
ACUUCCUCCUUUUAUGGAAGUCGGUUAAAAAGCACUGGAACAGCGUGGAUUAAGCUCUGGUCCUUCUCUUACACGGAGAAAGAGGUCUAUGCCCAGCAGUGGGAUGUUAAAGGAUGAAUCGUGAUUGUAUAUAAUCCACGUACCAGACGAAGGCAUCGUAAGUUAUUGGGAUUAGACCUUAUUCUGCCACAACUUAUCUUCUGUGCAUUAACAAAGAUACUAACCGUUGUUAGCCUUUUUAUUUGAGAAAAAAUUGAUCUUAGUGCUCACUGAUUUGACUCA